rnacentral:rRNA from 1 species
GUCUACGCCUGCCCAAUGAGGAAUUGAAUGGCCGCAGUAUUUUGACUGUGCAAAGGUAGCAUAAUCAUUAGUUUUUUAAUUGAAAGCUGGAAUGAAAGGUUGGACAAGAAAAUAACUGUCUCUUUAUAAAUUUAAUARAAUUUUAUUUUUAAGUUAAAAAGCUUAAAUGUAUUUAAAAGACGAGAAGACCCUUUAGAGUUUUAUAAAUUUUGUAAUUAUUUUUUUUUAGAUUUUUAAUAAACUAAUUAUAGAAUUUAUUUUGUUGGGGUGAUGGGAAAAUUUUAUUAACUUUUUUUUUAUAAAAUCAUUUAUUUAUGAAUUAUUGAUCCUUUAAUUAAGAUUAAAAGAUUAAAUUACCUUAGGGAUAACAGCGUAAUUUUUUUGAAGAGUUCUAAUCGAUAAAAAAGUUUGCGACCUCGAUGUUGGAUUAAAAUUAAAUUUUGGUGUAGAAGCUAGAAUUU